GGAGAAUUAGCUCAGCUGGGAGAGCAUCUGCCUUACAAGCAGAGGGUCGGGGGUUCGAGCCCCUCAUUCUCCA
rfam:Aerococcus christensenii strain CCTG28831, complete genome.